rnacentral:rRNA from 1 species
AUGGAUCCUCACCCCCGAGACGAAGCAGAAGAAGCGGUGUUGGGGGAGAUAAUCGCACACGGAAGUGAUGCCGUCUUGUCGUUUCUCAACGACACAUGCACCGAUGGUCUGGAAAGACAGCUGGAUGAAGAAGCAAGCUACGACGAUGAUCAAACAAUGGAGGAGGAAGGACACCGUGAUGACGGCUCCGGUGACCGAAUGGAGGGGGAAGGACACCGUGAUGACGGCUCCGGUGACCGAAUGGAGGGGGGAGGACACCGUGAUGACGGCUCCGGUGACCGAACGGAGUCUGGCCAGGUAUAUAUAUUAAUUAAUUAA